CAGGAGGAGGGGCAGGAAAGAAGCCAAAUGUCUCUCACAAUAAGAAAAGCCCAUCAUCUGCAAGAUCAUCCUCAGGCACAGGGCAGGCUGGAUCUCCUCCCAAAUUGCAUGCUCCAUGCCAAAGAGGUCAAGCCACCAAAUGACACUGACUUCCUGCCUUUAAGAGCUUUAUCUCUGCGGACCUGGAGCUGCUGGUCACCAUGGAAACAGAAGCUUUUGUUCACCACUUCCUCUUCUCUUUUUCUCGCUCCCCACCCCUCGUCUUUCCUUCCUCUCCUCACACCCACUUGCCCUCCUCUCUACUUUCUUUCCUCUAUUUUUAUUCCUAAUUUUCUAUCUCACUUGCCCUGAUUUCCUCAUCUAUUUAUUUAAAACUUAUUUAAAUUUUA
ensembl:lncRNA novel transcript